ensembl:lncRNA
GGCACAGAGGCAGCGCGGGGGGGCCCUGCCGGCACAGCGGGCCGGGCGGAGGGGCGGAAGGGAGUGAGCCAGGGCGCCGGCGCGUCUGCGGACCCGGGACGGCGGGCAGCCAGAGGCAGGGCCGGGGUCCCAUGCGGCCGUCAGCUCAGAGGCGGCCGCGGCCACGAAGCGGUCACAGGCCGUGACCCCCAGAGGAAGUCGCCGGUGACGGCAAAGACGGUGGAAAGACGCACGUGCGUGACGCGGGCCUCACAGGAGACGCAGGGACUCCUGGUCUGAACACCCGUCAGCGUUCUGGGGACUGAGGCGGGAAUGGAGGAGACGCCAGCAAAGGCGAGGCUGCCGAGGAAGCGGUGCCUGGGGGCGUGAACCUAAGAGGCCAGGCCGCAGGCCAGAACGGUCUUCUUCCUGUGACUCUGCAGCCAUAGCCUAGGAAACACUCCAAGAGACCUUGAAAUCUUUGAACACCACUUGAGAGAGCUUUUCUAAUAGUAUUUAUGCAUUAUUCCAUGGCUGAAUUCUUUAUUCCAAACAACUCUUCAGGAUCGGCUGCUGCUUGUUUUUAAGCAGCCAGUUAAUACUUUGGCCACCUGAUGUGAAGAGCUGACUCACUGGAAAGGACCUUGAUGCUGGGAAAGAUUGAAGGCAUGAGGAGAAGGGGACAACAGAGGAUGAGAUAUUUGGAUGGCAUCACCGACUCAAUGGACAUGAGUUUGAGGAAACUCAGAAAGAUGAUGAAGGGCAGGGAAACCGGCUGAGCUGCGGUCCGUGGGGUUGCAAAGAGUCAGACAUGACUGAGG